rnacentral:lncRNA from 1 species
CAGGUUUCACAAAAUAUUUAAGGCUGUGAUAUAAGGAAAAUGGAUGAAGAAUUUGAUGUGCGAAACGAAACCUCAAUGCAUAUGUAACAUUUCAGGAAUGUCUGUUAUAUUACACAUAAUUGCUUUACUUUGAUUAAGUUUGUAAAAACAAAUUUACCAUGAAAAUAUGGUUAAUGGUUUAUUUUUUUAAUCUGUUGUUUCUUUUUUCUUUCAGGUAAGUGUAUAGAGAUCUGAAGUGUUCUGCAGAAAUUGCACAGGUGGCAAUUCUCAUAGAAGAAAGAGGAAGGCAGGGACCCUUGAAAUGGUAAUAUCUCAGCUCUUGCACACACACACAGGAGCCUCUCAGGUGCUUGGCAAAGCUGCCGUUUUCUUUUAUAUGGUUAUAUCUGCUUAUUUCAUUAUAACUUGUUAUGCCUUAAACCCAAGGCUGUGAGAGUUCUGUUUUCUUGUAUGUGCGUUUGAGAGCCACUUACAAACUAAUGGAAAGCUUCUGCAGUCCGUCCUUGUCAGGUAGCUCGUUCUGUGUGGAUUAUUUACAAGUAAAAUGUCAUUCUCAAUGAAUUGUACAAUGACACACACACAUAUACAUAAUUUUAAUGCUAUAAGAAAUGCAUGCCUAUGUACAACAUGUGUGUGUGUGUAUAUAGAUAUAUAUCUUUUCUCAUGUAUAUACAACUCCCAUUUGUAGUAUAAAGUCUGCAAAAUUUCAUAUCAAGUCAGUAACAAAGAAAGAUGAUGAAACUUAAUAUUAUGUGAAUCAUUAUGAAGUUGGAAUAUUGCACCAAGUCUUAGAAGCAUAUUUUUCUAGAGGUACUAAUAUUCAUGUUCAAAUACCAAACUUAUACCUCUAAAUUAUCUCUCCCUUUUCUUUACAAAAUAAAAUAAUUUUUGGAUAAACUGCUAAUAUUUGUGUAUUCUCUCACACCCCAAUUUUCAUUAGGAAUAAGUUUUAUUUUGUCUGAAAUAAAGCAGUUUUAUUUUGUCUGAAAUAAAGCACUUAAUUGCUGAACUAAGUAAGGAUAUCUGAUUUCAAAUGAAACUUUGAAACAUGAAUAUGUGUGUGCAUGGGCUUGCAUGUGCAUGAUUUUCAGGAUGCCCCUAUAGUGGAUUGUUGUUCCUAAAAGACAAGAUGAUCUCCUGGGACUUGAGAUUCAUGGAUGAGGCCAGCAUUCACUGGGCACUAAUAUGUUUUGACAUUCUGAAUGUUGAGAUAAUAAGCACAUACCAUCAUACCCAGCGUCUUACAUAUGUUUUAGUAUUUGAUCUCAGAUCUUCAUGUUUCUAUGAGAAGCAUUUACUGACUAACCUAUUUCUCCAACCCUGAAAUGUGUCUUAUGAUUUCCCAAUGUGUUAGAAAUGUAGUAUUCAGCUGGGCGGUGGUGGUGCACGCCUUUAAUCCCAGCACUUGGGAGGCAGAGGCAGGCAGAUUUCUGAGUUAGAGGCCAGCCAGCCUGGUCUACAGAGUGAGUUCCAGGACAGUCAGAGGCCAGAGCUACACAGAGAAACCCUGUCUUGAAAACCAAAAAAAAAAAAAAAAAAAAAAAAAAAAAAAAAAAAAAAUGUAGUUUUCAGGAAUCUUUAAUAUUCUAUGAUAUGACCAAGUUGUUACAUCCUAGAUAUAAGACAAAUAUUGCAAUGAGAUGUAUUUAAUCCACUAUCAAAAUGGAAUUACUGGGAGCUGGUAUAAAACAAAGAAAAUUUGAAGUUAAUUAUAAAAGAAUGUUGUUCUUAUGUUUCAGAAUAUUGAGAGGAGGUAAAAUACACCAGUUAUUGUGCAAGAAUAGAGUCAAACAUGUUAAAUGCAUUUCUAGCUUUUAAUCACAAGAAAUAUGUUCAAAAUGUGAAAAUCUAAACCAUGAUUCAAAAUUGAGAAACUAAAAGUACUUAUUUUAUAUUUUCUUUUAUUUUCUUACCUUUUUGUUUCUAAGAGUGCCAGGUUUUAUUUACAGUAACAUAUUUUAUUUAAUGAGAAAUAUAAAAUAUAAGUAAGAAGAAAAGAUUUAAAAUAUUAGAAAAUUGUUGCGUCAUUUGGCUAUUACCAUUUGAACAAGUACAUCUCUCAACUACAGAGCAUUAAUUUCUUUGAAUUGUGCACAAUAAAAUAGAAUGUAGAAUUUUGUUAAUGCAUGCAAAAUCAAUACUAGAACCAUAGUUACAGAAAGAGUUCCUUCCCUAGUAUGGUAGGAACAAAGAACAGGUAUAAUAUUCUGCCAUGUGACUCUUGAUGCACUUGGCUCGCUGGUGUUUUGGAAAUGUCUGAUGACUUAAGCGUAGAUGAGCAGUUGGGAGCAGAAGGCAUAAAUCUUUGGGAUGCUUCAUCUUCAUGAUUGAUCCUACUCCAUGAACACAUAGAUGGCACUGCCAAUUGAAGAAAUGAAGGAAGAGUCAUAGGAAAAAUAAGUGCACACAGAAGAAAGUGGAUAUUGAACUCCAUAAGUUUCUGCUUGGUCUCAGAUACAAAUUUCUUUUGAUUUCCUGACCCCUACUUAAAAUUCACAGAUGCUCCGCCUCCUAUACGUUAAAAAAAAAAAAAGUCCUCUCCACAACUGCAUAGUGAACCAUGGAAAUUAUAUUAUAUUAACUUUUUAAUGUUUAAAAAAUUAUCAAUUUUGCUCUCUUUUUUUCCAAAGGACAAUAGUACAAAAGCAUUAUGCCCAACCAUCUUGCCCCUUUGCAUGUAUGAUUAGAAGCUAGGCUUGUCAAUACUAGAGCAUUGGCUGAUUUAAGGAAUUGCAGCUCUGAAAAGGAUGAUCUGUUAUAUAACUCAAUCGAUGAAUUCGAUUUAAAAAGUUUGUUCAAGUACCUGAAUAAACCUAUGGUUGAUGGGCAGAAUGAUAAAUUAGAAUACAGAUCUUUCCCAAGGACUUUGCUGCUUAGGAGUCUAUACUAGCUUCUUUUGCUUAAUCGUGCAGCAGUUCUACCUUUGGUCUCUUCCUGGAUAACCACAGCUUCUUUUAGUCACAUAAAUAAUCUCCGUAUUUAUUGAGACAAGAAAUAAGGGUCACUUUUUUUAGCAUAAGAUUUCCUUUAAAGGUCAAAUGGAACUGGCCUUGAUUCAAGUGGGUCCAUAAGACUCAUGUGUAACCAAAAUAGUGGUAAAGAGUGUUUUGGCUUCUCCAUUAGCUUGGAAAAUUACAACGUGACAAUUACAGUGCUUGUUUGCUGAGGUCUGAUAAUCAUGUCACGACAUUUUUAUGCUUCAUUCACUGUUAUGAUUUGGACAGCUUCGUGCCAAAGACUGGUUUACACAGAUUAAUACUGUGUCACAGUAUUAUGAAAACAAGGUAGGCUAACAGGAUCAUAUGCAGGGUUUAGAAGCAUGCAGCUGUGUAUUAUUAGCAUGACAUCUGUGAUAAAAACAAAGAGUAUAACAUAAGAAUACCAAGCCAAAGAAGUUCACAAUGUUGGCUGCCAGUUGAGGUAAGAAUAUUUAGACUUACUUAGGGUUCAAAACGUUCACCUGUGGUGGUAGGUAGCAACAAACGAACAAGAUUUAACCGAAUGCACAUUUUAGAGAACUACAAGAUCUUGCUUUACUUUUGGCAUCUCAAAUUCUUUACUUCUUGGUAUGCUCCCUCAUUUAUUCUGAGAGCGAUUGAGCCAAUAGACUUAUUUCAAGUGUGUUUUAUAUCAGAGAUGAAACUGCCAUUUUAACUCACUGCACAUGAUCAUAAUUUUAGAAUUAGUAAGAACACACCAUUCCAAGCCCACAAAUGCUAUUAUUUAAGAAUUUAAAAUGGCAUGAUGUGAACAUUUUCUAGCUUUCAAUGUAUGCUUCUGAAAACAAUUGUCUUUUUCUCAAAGUUGGAAAAAUGCUUUUCUAGAAAGGGAAGCAAAGACAAACCCAGCCUGACACCAUCCAGUCUGCAUGCAGCCUCCAGUUCAGCAGCAAUUUUUAAAGAAUGAAUUUUAAUGUGCACGGACCUAUUAGCACAGGAUCAGAUUUCUAACCAAUUGAUUGGACAUGCAAAAAGAGUCCGUGUCCUAGAUUUAAAGUCAUUACACAGUCUUAAACACAGCUGUGCAGCAAGCCUUUCAAACUUGAUGGAUUUGAACACAUUGAAUGGUGCUGAAGGUGAUUGGCUAGCGAAUUUCCUUCAAUGCAAUUAACAAUAAUAACAAAUUUAGUGAAACAACUACUGUGUUGUUCAGCAAGCAACUGGGCAUCCUGGUUUUCAUAGCUAUCAGGUGUGCACAUGAUAGAAAAUACACAGUUAUCUAGGUAGAUCUAUAGGCAUUGAUUGUUCUUUGAUUUAAAGAAGAUACAUCUAGUUUUAGGCUUUUUACCUCUCAAGGAUGAAGUUACUCCUUUCUAUUUAGAAUUUCCUUUAUUCCCUCCCAACCAUCCUUUAAUUUCAACUUUUUGCUGUCUCUAAUAAUUUAUUGUAAAUAUACUUCCAGAGAGUAUAUUAUAAAUAUUUGCCUUAAUUUUGAUUGUUACCAAUUCUUCAUCUUAGGAACAUGUAGACAUACAAGCAUGUCAUAUCUUUAAAAAUAUUACAAGUAUGAGCUACUCAGUGUGUGUUAUUGUUUCAUGUGGCCAAUGCAGCUGUCAGUGAGGAUAAGCGCUGUGUUCUUCAUUUUCUUCUCCUUCAGACUAAGAACAGAAAGAUGUGUUUAUGAAACCAACCACUAGCAAGGAAUGAAUACCACUGAAAGAACACUGCCAGGAAAGUGAUUGUUUUCCUCUACAAUUCAGGGCUAGUACCUAUGGUUUUCAGGGAAACUUGCAUUAUGGCAACCCAGUUUUGGUAUAUAGCUUCAUAUUUGUUCCAUGCAAGGCAUAAAUACAAAUAACUAUGUAGUCACAAAUUUCAAGUUGCAACUUCCCUUGCAAAGGUAAUCAAAUAAUCUAUAUAGACUCCCAGCUGUCUCAACAAAAAUUUGGAGAUGAAAACACAUAAGGUGGUGGUAUGUGUAUGAAGAUAAAAGUUUCCCUGACUAAGCCAAUGAGUAGGCAAACAGAGGAGAGCACAGAAAGAGUUGGUUUGCAGCUCAAUGUAAUUAUGUUCAGGGAUUAGGUAUCCUUGUCUUCUUGAUUAGGAGGAGACAGUCUUGAGCAAUAUAUUUAAUUGAUUACCUCAGGUUAAAGGCUAGUAGCAGGCAAUGUGAAAAAAAAAAAAACUGGACUUUCCACUCAAGAAAAAAUAAGAUAAUCAACCAAAGUUGAUUCUUUGAAGUCCUGCUAAAAAUUUAAGUCAAACACAGCUUACUAAAUUGUGAGAAGAAGUUUAGAGCUUUGGAGAAAUGCACCUGUAAAAUGAAGAUGCUUAUAUCAUUGCAAAGAUUUGUAGAUUCAUAUUACAUGCCAUUAGAAAUCUAUGAAUCUAUGAAACAGCCACUCUUUUUUUUUUUUUUUUUGAGAAGCCCACGUACUUCAGAGGAAUGUCUUUCUUUCCUUGAAUUCCUUUCCUUAAAAGUCAAUAAUAAUAAAACAUCUUAAUAAAGUAAAUAUUUCAGAAAAAAUUACAUAAAAUACGGUGAGUUAUACACUUGGAUAUUCCUAGUAUUUCUGAGGCAGGAUCUUUCUAUGUGGCCCUAGCGGUGCUGGAACUCACUAUGCAAAUUUGGCUGGUUUCAAAUUUAGAGUGAUCUGCCUACCUCUGUCUUCCAAGAGCUGGGAUUAAAGGCAGUCACCGGUUAGUUCAUAAUGUUGUUCCAGCUAUAGGGUUGCAGACCCCUUCAGCUCCUUGGGUACUUUCUCUAGUUCCUCCAUUGGGGCCCUGUGUUCCAUCCUAUGGAUGACUAUAGGUGGAACAACAAUAUGAGCUAACCAGUACCCCACAGAGC